UACGUAGGGAGCGAGCGUUGUCCGGAUUUAUUGGGCGUAAAGAGCGCGUAGGCGGUUUGGUAAGUCGGGUGUGAAAGCUCCGGGCUCAACUCGGAGAGGUCACUCGAUACUGCCAUGACUUGAGUCCGGUAGGGGGGUGUGGAAUUCCCAGUGUAGCGGUGAAAUGCGCAGAUAUUGGGAGGAACACCAAUGGCGAAGGCGGUUCUCUGGGACGGUACUGACGCUGAGGUGCGAAAGCGUGGGGAGCAAACAGG
rnacentral:rRNA from 1 species